GACGAACGCUGGCGGCGUGCCUAAUACAUGCAAGUAGGACGCAGUUGCGAACGGGUGAGUAACGCGUAGGUAACUACCUAUUAGAGGGGGAUAACUAUUGGAAACGAUAGCUAAUACCGCAUCCUAGUAGAUUGACCUGCGUUGUAUUAUCUAGUAGGUCGGGUAAAGGCCUACCUAGGCAACGAUACAUAGGCGAGCUGAGGAGGUGAACGGCCAAAAUGGGACUGAGACACGGCCCAGACUCCUACGGGAGGCAGCAGUAGGGGAUCUUCGGCAAUUGGGGGAACCCUGACCGAGCAACGCCGCGGGAGUGAAGAAGGGUUUCGGAUCGUAAAGCUCUGUUGUUAAGGAAGCGGUACUUAACCAGAAAGGGACGGCUAACUACGUGCCAGCAGCCGCGGUAAUAC
rnacentral:rRNA from 1 species